UACGUAGGGGGCGAGCGUUAUCCGGAAUCACUGGGCGUAAAGGGUGCGUAGGCGGCCAAAUAAGCCAGGGGUGAAAGGCUACGGCUUAACCGUAGUAAGCCUUUGGAACUGUAUGGCUUGAGUGCAGGAGAGGAGAGUGGAAUUCCUAGUGUAGCGGUGAAAUGCGUAGAUAUUAGGAGGAACACCAGUGGCGAAGGCGACUCUCUGGACUGUAACUGACGCUGAGGCACGAAAGCGUGGGGAGCGAACAGG
rnacentral:rRNA from 1 species